rnacentral:rRNA from 1 species
AAGGUGGGGAUGACGUCAAGUCAGCAUGGCCUUUAUAUCCUGGGCUACACACACGCUACAAUGGGAAGGGACAAUAGGUUGCGAAGCCGCGAGGCGGAGCCAAUCCAGCAAAACUUCCCUCAGUUCAGAUUGCAGGCUGCAACUCGCCUGCAUGAAGUUGGAGUUGCUAGUAAACGCAGGUCAGCCAUACUGCGUUGAAUACGUUCCCGGGGCUU